GGGCGCAUAGCUCAGCUGGCUAGAGCGCCGUCUUCACACGGCGGAGGUCACAGGUUCAAGUCCUGUUGCGCCCA
rnacentral:tRNA from 1 species